GGCAUCCUCAGAAAAGGGAAAGGAUCCUGCCGAAUCGCGCAGACGGUAUUGGAACAGUUCCAUUGGCUCUACUGGGCUGUGGCAGUGAUGUAUCCAGGAAUCAUACUGUCAGCAAGAACUCCAGAUCUGUGGGCAGCAAUGAAGGUCACGGGAAGACUGUGUCAUCACCAGGUGUCUGUCACACAGUCUCCAUCCCCUUCCCAGAUCCUGGAAAUGGAGCCAGAAGAGGACGAGGGGGUCUGGAGGGCAGUCGGCUGGGUCAUCAAGACACCAGGGAGCUGGAAUGGAGGCAGCAGAUGGUGCCGGUUUCUCCUGCCCGUUUGUCACAUCAUAAGCAUCUGUCUGUCCCUGUUGAGCAAAACAUUUGUUCCAUCCCCUUCCCUAGUACUGGAGAUGGACCAUUCUGCAUCCUCAUGGACCUCAGCAAACACCUCAGCUGGUCAUGAUUCUUUACCAGGUGUGGUGACCCAAAAUUUCAUCUCUUCAGGGUCUUGGGCCAUUACCAGUCUGCUGGAGUGGGUCGCUGUAAUUUUCUGUUGAGCUUAAUCCCAGAUGCCCUAAGGUAUCUCUUAUAUUCCAAACAUACUCUCCUUUACCUUCAUUGUGGAGUAGCAGCCCAUUUCUUCUUGGUAGUAAGGGUCAGUCACCACAGCCGGCACCAUAACUCCCUUCUUUUCCUGUUGACUCAAAAGUGUGAAGAAUGUACAUGGCUAGGCAGAAGUCUUAACUUCCAAGUCAAUGGAAUUGUUGUGUAUAUUCUGGUGGAAUCAUUUCUCCUUGUGCAACUAGGACAUCCAAGGCAGAAGAGAAUAAGGUGAUAAGAACAGGUAGCAUAAAUUUUAUCAGUGGACCACUAGGGGUAGUAGUGAAUAGUGACACUCCCGUGUCCACCACUGAAUUCU